rnacentral:rRNA from 1 species
AUUGAACGCUGGCGGCAGGCUUAACACAUGCAAGUCGAGCGGAGAGAGGUAGCUUGCUACUGAUCUUAGCGGCGGACGGGUGAGUAAUGCUUAGGAAUCUGCCUAUUAGUGGGGGACAACAUUUCGAAAGGAAUGCUAAUACCGCAUACGUCCUACGAGAGAAAGCAGGGGAUCUUCGGACCUUGCGCUAAUAGAUGAGCCUAAGUCGGAUUAGCUAGUUGGUGGGGUAAAGGCCUACCAAGGCGACGAUCUGUAGCGGGUCUGAGAGGAUGAUCCGCCACACUGGGACUGGGACACGGCCCAGACUCCGACGGGAGGCAGCAGUGGGGAAUAUUGGACAAUGGGCGGAAGCCUGAUCCAGCCAUGCCGCGUGUGUGAAGAAGGACUUAUGGUUGUAAAGCACUUUAAGCGAGGAGGAGGCUACUUUAGUUAAUACCUAGAGAUAGUGGACGUUACUCGCAGAAUAAGCACCGGCUAACUCUGUGCCAGCCGCCGCAGUAAAAC